GAGCUUAUUUCUAAUAUAAGCUUAUUAGAGCUUAUUUCUAAUAUCAUCCAUUAGAAAUAGUUCAAAUGAUUCUUUAAAAAGAUUUCCUGAAGUACCCUGCUUCUCACUGACCGACUACUGCAGAUCAGCAAAAAGCCUAGAGAGGCUGACCAGGGGUGGCCAGGUCUAGGGUAUAGAAAAUGGGAGUGUUUGUGUUUGUGU